rnacentral:rRNA from 1 species
ACGAACGCUGGCGGCGUGCUUAACACAUGCAAGUCGAGCGGAAAGGCCCUUCGGGGUACUCGAGCGGCGAACGGGUGAGUAACACGUGGGCAACCUGCCCCUAGCUCUGGGAUAACUCCGGGAAACCGGGGCUAAUACCGGAUACGACUUCCCCCGGCAUCUGGGGAAGUGGAAAGUUCUUCGGCUAGGGAUGGGCCCGCGGCCUAUCAGCUUGUUGGUGGGGUAACGGCCCACCAAGGCGACGACGGGUAGCCGGCCUGAGAGGGCGACCGGCCACACUGGGACUGAGACACGGCCCAGACUCCUACGGGAGGCAGCAGUGGGGAAUAUUGCGCAAUGGGCGAAAGCCUGACGCAGCGACGCCGCGUGAGGGAUGAAGGCCUUCGGGUUGUAAACCUCUUUCAGCAGGGACGAAGCGAGAGUGACGGUACCUGCAGAAGAAGCACCGGCCAACUACGU